GAAGCAAGUUGGGCCGUGUGGAUUGACUGUGAUUUUAUGAAUUCCUGCUUCAAGGCAUGCUGGUGGGACAGAACAGAGCUAAGAAAACCAACUGUUCCAAUUUGUCCUGGCACGAGGGAUUCCCCAGGAUGUGGGAAUUUCAAUGAUAAACCCAGGAAAGUUUCAGUCAAAUGGGGGUGAUUGGUAAACACCAGAUUUAUUUCCUUUAAUUUUAUAAUGAGCGCCUCAGAAACUUUAGAAUCAUAUUACUAAAACUUUAAAAAAAUAUAAUUUUAUUCACAUUUUCUGAUCUUCAGGUGCUGGUUAGGUGGAUCUUCAUGUUACCUGAAACCCAGUUUCUGGUCCUUCCUUAUGACAAGCUGAGGCACAAAAGUUGCAUGAUAGGACAAGGACAGGGAAUCAGAAGACAAAUUCAAUUCAGGCAAGUCAUCCUGGCAUGUGAACAUGGUGAGUGAUGGAGGAAGUGGGCAUUGUCAACAAAGCCCAGAUCCCCGUCUCCCAGCUGCAGUCUUUGGCUGGGAAGGCUUGGGGCUUAUUAUACUAUGUUGCAAUUGCUUGUUAUUGCUUGUCUCCCUUGCUAGACAGAAAGAUAACUCAGGGCAAGGAUUGCGUGGUCUCAAGAUUUAGAACUGGGCCUAUUCCCUGCUAUGAGCUCAAUGACUCUGUGGGAGCCUCUUGGGAUACAAGUGAGGUAGAUUUAUUCAAGACUUGUUUCUAAACUUUCUGGAUUCAGCAUAAAAUGACUUUCAGAAUCAUCCUUGAAACACAUCAGGUGCUUGAGAAAGGAGGAUGGUGGUGGUGGGACUUCACACUAUAGCAAAUUUCUUGCUAAGUAAGUUUCUAAUCUCCUUUCCCAAAGCUUGAUCUACCCCAUCAAUCCCCUCAACACUGUAGGCAUCAGGAUACAAAAGUGAAGACAGCUCAGGGCCUCUGGGUUCGUUGGCUUUCUAGCCUCACAUGGCCUUAACUCUUCUUUACUGUUUAGGAGGAUGCCAUACAAUUUUUUUUUUUUUAAGGGGACAAAGACUCCAUUCAAAUAAGUGAUGAGGCUUCUACAGGAAAACUUCCAAGAAUCUUUGCCAACCUGCGGUAUUUGAAAAGGUAGAGAAAAGGAUAGUGGAGAAAUAACCAGCUUUAUAAAGCACCGAUUUUGUGUCAGGCACAAUGCUACAUUUUUAUGUGUCCAAAUACUGUAAGAUUAAUUUUCAUUUCCAUUUACAGGUGAGGCUGAGAAGUGGUCAUAUAACAUGUCCAAGGUCAUAUAGCUAAAGAACUGCAGAGGUAGGAUGUGAAAGAAGUUUUAUUAAAUCUCAAAUACUGGUUAGCUAAACUGUCAUCCUAAAGCAACACAGUAUAGACUGGUGUCUCUCAAAAUCUCUGACCUGGCUCCUAAGCUACCAUGUUUCUCUGGGUUUUGAUGCUACCCACAUACUAAACAUGACCAGGAAGUUUUAGGGUAGUUUCUUGAGAAAGUCAGAGAGAUGUGGAACUAGUGGCCGGAAGGAGAGGAACAUCCCUGAAGACAUGAAGAACAACUUGAACCAUGGUUUGGGGGUUUCCUAAUAUUAUGUGGGGGAAGAUACUUUAUUUAUAAGUGCUAAUAAGAUCUGUGGUUAGAUUUCACUGGCAUAAAUUAUUCACAGAGAACUGCUAAAGAUUCUUCUCUCCCUGCAGGGUGAACAGCUGGCCUUCUGCCCUGCAGGCCUUGAUGUUUUGGUUUUUUUGACGAUCAGCGCCCUCUGGAGGUUAAAGCCAGAAAAGCAAAAGUAUGAGAAAAAGGGACAAAGUGUUUUCUGCCCUUGCUUCUUCCUAUUGAAGUCCCUGCCUCAAAGUACAUUAAAGACAGAAGCAGAGGAGAAACAAAAAAUUUUUUUCUAGUGUGACCUUAAGUAUGAACUGUCAUGGAAACACUGGCUAGUGAUUAAGAACCAAUUGGUUCCUUAAACCCAACUCCGAGAUGCUGGUUUGUUUCACAGGGUGGAUCUUCUGGUGUGCUUUUGGUCCUGUUUGGCUCAAGCAAAAGGAGCCUCAGAAACAACCCUUCACCAGGGGGAAGAACUUUGUCCCUUGACCCAGUAGUACAAAGAGCUGUUUUAGGCAAGACUGUGCAAAGUGAUGGCACAACCCUGACAGAGACAGCUUAGUGAUCUGGUGCCUGUGGUUAAUGCUGAGGGGCAGAAGUGGAAUUCCCAAUCUCAAAAUCUCCUUAUUUUUCUUCCCAGCAAGAAUGAUUUAGGUAGCUCAAAUGUAGCAAGUUUAGAAGACUUUGCUACUAGUGGGCCCUGACUUGAACAUCUCCUUGGUUGGCUGGGCUUUGAUUUUGUUCAGUAUCUCAAUCACUCUUUUGUGCCCACAAUUCUGAUACCUAGAUCUUUGCCUUUUUCCUGUGGCUGAGGUCUCUUUGAAUUGAUAACUGAAGCAUACAGACCACCCACAUCUCUCAACCCAUACCAUUUUUAGCAUGUUGUUUCCGCUCACAACUGCCAGCACCUGUGUCUGUUUGCUUGCCGGCUUCCCCUGGAAGCAGGAACACACUCUGGUCAUGUGCAUAGCAAGCCAGGAGUGCCAGGGAGUUAGUAUGCACCCCUUAGCAGCUGUGGCCGAUGACUGAUAGUAAUUCUGACAUAUCAUCCACAAGACGUCAGUAUAGUAUCAGACCCAGUCCAUCUAUCUGUCAGAUCAUAGUCAGAGGCAGUGCUUAGCAGGUUGUCCCCUACAGUUACCAAAAGCUUCAUAAGAGCAAAGAAUAAGGCCUCAGUGAGCACUCCAAACUCCAAUUCCCAUUACAGGGAAUGAUUCUCUAAAUCUCUUUGCUGUGAUGCUGGGCAAGAUGAAAUAGCAUUCAGUCUGAACAGAUCCAAAUUUGUUGGGUACCAAAAACUGUUUAGUCUCUUCCUUUCAAUCGUGGCACCCCAGAAUAUGUUUUGUAUUAAUUAUCUCUUGAUGUAUAACAAUGACCCCAAAUUUAGUGGCUUAAAAUACUGGCCAUUAUUAUCUCUCACAAUGACUCUGAGUAAGGAAUUCAAGAUUGGCUUUUCUGGGUGGUAGCUCAGGGUCUCUUAUCGGAUCUUAGUUGGAUGUUACCCAAGGCUCCAGUUAUUGAAAGGCAUGGUUGAAGCUUAGGAGCCACUCCCAAAGAUAUUUGUUCACAUGCCUGGCUAUAGGAGAGUGUCCCUAUUAAGUCUCUCUGCAAAGCUGCCUGAGCGCUCUCAUGGCAAGCAAGCUGGCUUCCUUCCCAAGAAUGAGCAGUCCAAGAGGUCAAGAUGAAACUGCAAUGCCUCUUCUGACCUAGCCUCAGAAAGCAUGCUCUACCGUUUGUUCUAUAUUCUGUUUGUCAUGCAUACCAGUCCUGAUCCAGUGUGGACCGAACUACCAAAAACAUUUAAAUUUUUUUUCUUAUCCAGAAAUUUCCUAUAAUGCUGUUUGCCACAAUGGGUAAUGCUGUAACCCUUUUUUCAGACAUUCUUUAACCCACAGUAAGGCUUUGCCUUGAUAUAGAGGCAAAAUUCUAGUAGCCUUCAGCCAAUGACUGGUAGUAAAUCUAAUAUAUCAGAACACAAAUACACCAGACCAGUAUAUCUGUAAGAUCAUAUGCAGAGGCAAUACUUAGUAGGUUUGUUCCUUAGAAUGAUUACAAGCAAACUUUAUGAUAAAGAGAUGGAAAUGUCUUAGAAAUAUACAUAUUGAUUUGCAUUUCAGCAACAACUAAGGGCUUUGCUUCUGGUAAGGGCUCUCAGUUGCCUCCCAGUUGGUUGGUUCUUUUCUAAAACUCUAAAAAUCCAUUACUUUAAUUCUCAGAGAUGUGAAGUCAUAACCUUGAGCCCAAGAAUCAGGCCAGAACAUGGUUUGAGAAUUGCUACCUGCAGGUGUUUUCUGGGCCAGGAAGCGGCUGCACAGUGAGGCCUUUUGUGGUGAGGGGAUUCCACUGGCCCAAUUGCUCACUCCCUGGAAGAAGAAGGUUCUACUACCUGAAGGACAGGACUUUCCAAAAUAAACAGGCAUUUCCUCCUGCCUCCAAUCCCUGAUCUCUGAACUGAGCCCCAAGUGCUAGAGAACAGAUGCGACCCAUGGAUGCCUUAUAAAGUACUAUCCAAUAACACUGCUCCUAAGGAACUUUUAUAUUCAUUAAGUUCCUGCUUCCAAAGGUCAUGUUCCCAGAAAUGAAAACAAACAAACAAACAACAAAAAAAAAAAAACAAAGAAAAAAUUGAGUGGGUGUCAUUGGAAGAAACCAGGGCAAAUGAAAUGAAAUGACAGCCAUUGGUAAGCCUUACUGAGCAGAUGUGGACAUAACUUGGAAUCACUUAUGUUAUGGGAAGAUGCCCUUUCAGCCAUUAAAAAAAUGAAUGGAUAAAUAAAUAAAUAACAAUGCUAUGGU
rnacentral:lncRNA from 1 species